rnacentral:tRNA from 1 species
GGAGAGAUGGCUGAGCGGCUGAAAGCAGCACACUGCUAAUGUGCUGACCCCGAAAGGGGUCCCAGGGUUCGAAUCCCUGUCUCUCCG